rnacentral:rRNA from 1 species
GACGAACGCUGGCGGCGUGCCUAAUACAUGCAAGUAGAACGCACAGUUUAUACCGUAGCUUGCUACACCAUAGACUGUGAGUUGCGAACGGGUGAGUAACGCGUAGGUAACCUGCCUGGUAGCGGGGGAUAACUAUUGGAAACGAUAGCUAAUACCGCAUAAUAUUGAUUAUUGCAUGAUAAUUAAUUGAAAGGUGCAAUUGCACCACACCAGAUGGACCUGCGUUGUAUUAGCUAGUAGGUGAGGUAACGGCUCACCUAGGCGACGAUACAUAGCCGACCUGGGGGGGUGAUCGGCCACCUGGGGACGGGGACACGGCCCAGACUCCUAGGGGAGGACGGAGUGGGGAAUCUUCGGCAAUGGACGAAAGUCUGACCGAGCAACGCCGGGGGGGUGAAGAAGGUUUUGGGGUCGUAAAGCUCUGUUGUAAGAGAAGAACGGGUGGGGGGGGGGAAAGUUCACACUGUGACGGUAUUUUCCAAAAAAGGGAGGGCUAACUACGU